rnacentral:tRNA from 1 species
GCUAGCACGGGCCGGCCGGACGGCCAGCGGGUCAAAUCCGCUCAGGCCGGCGGGCCGGGGCGGGGGGCUCGGCGGCCUCGUGCAGGCUC